rnacentral:lncRNA from 1 species
CGAGGGUAAAUAUUGCCCAGCCUUCUUUCAUGUAGGAACCAAGAAAACUAGACCCAACAGUUUUGCCUUUCCUUCCUUCUCUGUACAUGUUCUUCCUAGUUGUACUGGAUUUUGCUAAUAUCAUAAGCACAGCUGUGAUACAGCCAGGUCUUUAUGCAUGGAUUUUACUCUUUGAGCAGCUUGAAGACAAUUCUGUCUCGCUCUCUCUGGGUUCUCACGAGCACAGACCUGUAACCAUAAUAAGCUCUCAAUAAAGGUUGAAUAGAGGCCACAGAGAUCUUCAGGCCAGAAGUCAGAGGUCAUUCCUUGAGGACAUGUUAGUGACAGUGUCCUGUACAGUGGCUAGGCAGAGAAAGACUGCUGAGAA